CCUGUUGUCAUCUUUACCAAGACGAAAGUUAUUUCUUUGAUUUUCAGGUCCUACUGUUACCACACCACCACCUGAACUUUCUACAACCUCCGCAGAUCUGACUACACAGAAAACAAGAGAGUUUUCUACCACCUCCACAGAUCUGACUACACAUCAAGUAAGAG